rnacentral:lncRNA from 1 species
GCAGCUCCUCCUGCUCAGGCUUCUUGCAGAGCAUGGGGCAUAGGAGGUCCCCAAGUAGGUGUCGAAUGGACAAGUACAGGGACACCUCUUCCCCCAUCCUGUGUGAGCAGCACACUCACAGCACUCAGGACGCCCGGCCGGAGAGGACAGCUCCCAAAGGAUGCUUCCCAAUGCCCUAGUCGUGGGGGCGUGAACAGGUGGAGGGGGCCUGCAUGGAUCCAGGGUCACAAGAAACACUGUGACCUCGACAUUUCAAGCCCCCCCGGUGCAGAGAGACAGAGGGGAUGUCUCCGACGGUGGAUGGCUGAUGGCUGAUGAGGAAGGGACAGACUUCUGCUCAGGGAGACGGAGCAGAGGGUGUCUCGGUCACCGAAGGUUCCCUGCCCGCCCUCCCGGCUUUGGGAAGCCGCUUCCCCUGGGAGUCAGAACCAUACACUACUUUGCC